UACAGAGGUCUCAAGCGUUGUUCGGAUUCAUUGGGCGUAAAGGGUGCGUAGGCGGUCUCAUAAGUCGGGUGUGAAAGCCCCGGGCUCAACCCGGGAAGUGCACUCGAAACUGCGAGGCUAGAGUACUGGAGAGGUUGGUGGAAUUCUCGGUGUAGAGGUGAAAUUCGUAGAUAUCGAGAGGAACACCGGUGGCGAAGGCGGCCAACUGGACAGAUACUGACGCUGAGACACGAAAGCGUGGGGAGCAAACAGG
rnacentral:rRNA from 1 species